rnacentral:ncRNA from 1 species
CGUACAAUGAUAACUCAUAUAAAGUUGACAAUAAGGGUCAAAAGUUUCUACCAAGAUGCCGUAAAUAUCUUGACUAUGAGUUAAAUGCUUAA